GGCUCACUAGCCAGAUGAAGCUAGCUGACUGCUUAUAACGUUAGCUUUGGGCUAGAGGGUUAAGUAGUUGGCUAGCUAACUGAAGUUCAAUUUAAAUAAGCGAAGAACAUGCUAGCUAAUACUUACUCACAAGGAUUCCUAAAUAAUUGCUAAGAAUGAUGAAAAUGACUGCAGUUUCUACUGGUCUUUGUUUUCAGGCUGGUUGUAUUGGUGUUAGCUAGGUAACUUUACCAAGCUAAUGCUAGAACGUUUCCAAUAGGAUCUCGCUAGCUCGUGCUUGGCUCUGUCCACUAUGACUCAUUUGUUCCCAUUGGAAACGACAUGUAGCGGUCUAACUUGGUUUGUCAUUGCGUAACCCUUAUACAAAUGUUAACUUUCAACUUCAAUGGGGGUGGGGACAUCCCUAGGAUUCCGAUUAACACGGACCCUGAAAGAAGGAAAAGAAGUGACGUCUGGUAAAAUUAAAAGGGAGUAAUAUCCGGCAUUCUCCUGUAUUAUACCAUCAAUAUUUGGUCUCUGUAAACAGAUAGUUUUUCCUGUGUGUAUUUCAUCAAACUUCCUCAAUACACACAAGUCCAUGCAUUGGGCCAAAUCACAAAUUCACCCCCUUCUGAAGAUGAGAUGCUGCAUGCUAAAUUGGUACCCUAAGAAUAAAUAUUAGGUAGGUAGCUACCUCGUCUCUCUACUUUUAGAAAGGAGCUAACUAUGACUCUUAAAUAUAAUCUACUCAACCCUAUACUGAGCGUAUUUCCGUUAGUUUGUAUAGUUGUAAUAUUAUUUACUUGUAACUUUCAGUUUUGUCAAGCUAGUGAAGUCAGACCUGAAAAUGUCUUGUUUGGGGUCCAGGGCUAGACCCUAAAGUCGUUUUGCCCGUUCGAUCCAGGCUGUCAACUCAGCUGGGGAAAACCUCUCUCCAGGUAGACUCGUUCAGAAGCAGCAUGUCCGCAUCCACACCCACCUUCCCCUGGACAGAGGCGAUGGUUCCUUUCUGAUGAGGAAUUCUCAAUUGGCCAUGGCGGGGAGAGUGACCAAACUCAGCAUGCAUCCACAGAAAUGCACAAGAAGGCCACGCUAGCUAAAGGUGCUAGCAAUAUCGUCUACUGCGGAAAAUGAUGUUCUGCCUCCUACGGAAGGUGAGCCUGUGUAUUUUUCAGUUGCCAGUGAUGCCUCAAACAAGGGAAAUAGAAAAAUGUUUCCGGCGUGCGUGAGAUAUUUCUCUGUGUCUGAUGGAGUGCAGUUCAAGUUACUUGACUUUUAUGAAGACAGUGAUGAAACUGCAAAUGGCAUACAUCAAGCUCUGAUGAACUGUCUGGAAAAUCAUGAACUUGAUAUUAGACACUUCACAGCCUAUGCAGCAGAUAAUGCCAAUGUCAAAUGUGGAAUACAUCACUCCGUUUACCAGUUAUUGAGCAGUGACAACAAUCGCAUUCUGAAAGCUAAUUGCCCAACUCGCAUAACUCAUAAUGCCUUUUGCCAUUCCAAUUGAAUAAGACUAUGAAUAUACACUGUUCAUUCAUUCCCAUAGCACCAUACCCACACUGCCGUGUGACCGUGCACUGGCAGGCCACCUUUUGUCCCUUAUUUGGUAGUGAGAAAGUUGGCAACCCUAAUUCAGGCUCAUUUACUGCCUUUAAAAAAAACAUAGCUGAUAUGGCUGAUUUGCUUAAACAAAUGUGUUUUUUACUGACAAUUGAGAUGUACAAACUAUGGCAUAAGGUGGGGGGGGGGCGAGUAGAUAAGAGGCCAUCAGUAAUUUCGAUUGACAUUAAUGAGCGAGCUAGGACGGACAUAGUCAAUAUAAAUAUUUGUUCAGACUUCAGUGCCUUCCCCUCCAUUGACCUGCAGCGCCUCCUACAGGAGGUCCCCUGUCGGUUCUCCAACAGAGGAGGUCUCAUUCACUAUGCUGUAAUCGCUGUUCCCUGGGAAAAUGCAUUGACUUCAAGAUAAUGUUUUCAAAAAAUAAAUAAAAGUAACCUUAAUUUUAUUAGUUCUCUGAUGAAACGUUCCUCUCACCAUGUAGGAAGGUAAAACGUUGCUUUGUCUUUUUUGUGUCAUUGUAUGUGUUCACUAUUAUUUAUAGGUGAGUUUGUGUGUGCUGGUCUCUGUCCUUUCAUCAAUAAGUAUGAUCAUGGUCCUUUCUUAACUGUCCGAUGGUACUUAUUUGCCCCUCACCAGAAAUUCACAUAAUAAUAUAUUUUCAAUAUGAGGUGAGGCUUCCUGAUGUGGAAUUUUACAUCAAUGUGGGAGACUGGCCAAUGGAAACAAGGAAGCAGAUGACAUUCCUGGGGCUGUUCCAAUCAUCUCCUGGUGCGGGUCCACAGACACCAUCCUCCCCACCUAUGGCAACACUCACUCCACCCUGGAGACCCAGUGACAUUUCCAGUGACCUGCUGUCAGUCCAGGGCAACACAGGUAAGACACAUUACUUCUUACAUUCUCCCUUGAGCUAAUUCUGCUUACUUACACCUCAUUACUCAUAUGCACAUUACUCUGUUUCCUUGGCCUCUAGGUCCAACAAAACAGAACAGGCCUUAUUCUUUGGCCGGGACAGUCGUGAAGAGUGCCUACACAUGGUCACUCUGUCCAAGAAAAGGGGGAGGGAUCUGGGCAAAACAAAUCUUGCUGGAUUCUUUGACUUAUUUAAGGUGGGGGAACAUUCUGAACAUUCCAACCAAAGCCAGCAGGUUCCCAAAAUAAAAAAUUGGUAGCCACAAUAAUAUAAAAUAAAAGGGAAUUCUAAACUUUCACACCGUGGCGUAAUAUACGGCCCUUUCCCAUUUACAGUAUAAGUAUCAGGUGAAUGUUAAGGGCACAGUGGCUCCUUACAGGUUCCCUUAGCUGAUGCUGGGAAACAGCCUGGUGCUGAAGCAGAAUUCACCAAAUCACUUCUACACCCACCUGAAGAAGCCAGGCACCCACUACAUCCCUGUGAAGAGGAGUCUCUGACCUCAUCCAAAAGAUUGAGUGGGCAAUAGUAUGAAAGAGAAAGAGUGCCAAUGUUUGUGUCAAUAUAUAUUUGCUACCAUGUACAUUUUGGGAUACUUGAAAUGCAAAUGCAUGUUGUAAUGAAUAGGAUCUAGCCAGGUUUUUGUGGAUAUUUGAUUAAGAUAUGGAUUUCUUUAUUUUCCCUACAGGGGAAUGAUGAUGAAGCACAAGCGUUAGCAAAGCAGGCCAGACGAUUGUACGACACCUCGUACAACUAACAGAUUCUACUGUUACUAUUACAGUGUGCUACAGAUGUACUCUGAGCGUCAGACCAACCAACCAGAAGGAUGAACUCUGAUCAACACUGAAAAGAAAAGGAAGAGACACUAGCUAUUUCAAUACAGAAAGUGCCUUGGACUUCUGCUUGCUUGUUGAUGGAGAUUCUAUGCAAUGAAGAAGUACUGUGUGACCAGGACUGCUUAGUGGAUGUACUAACACUCAUAUAGGCGAUCAAAUAUAAAAUGUGGUUUGAGCCAGACAGACCUUGUCACAGCUCACUUUACUGGGCCUGGAAUAUGACUGUUUUAUUGACAAGACCAUUAUGCAGAAGCAUCUGUUUUCACUGACCUGAGUGAUAUUUCAUACUGCAUUUUGUGUAAUUGUAUGAUCAUUGAUGGUCACCAUUAUUACAUUUGUAUAAAUGAUUGCUGUUGAUGUUGUGUUAACCUUUUAUUGACCAAGAUGAUCAUGUCCUUUGUUUGUUAUUCACUACCAUAACUUUAAAAAUAUACAUUGGAUGGUUACAAUAUAAUAAAUGUGUUGUUGCCAUAUUGAUUGGUUUCUUUUUGGACUCUUCUAACUAAAUCCACUCUGAUUGUGCAAUUAAACGACCUAUUUUCUUCGACGGUACUGUUGUGAAAAAAAUAAAAUGUUAUUGAAACAUUGA